rnacentral:rRNA from 1 species
AACUAGACCAAAUUACCCUACAUGCACCAGAUCUCAUGUGACUGUGGAAGCUAAGCAGGAUCAGCCCUGGUUAGUACUUGGAUGGGAUGCCACCAAUGAAUACCAGGUGCUGUAGGCU